AACGAACGCUGGCGGCAUGCCUAACACAUGCAAGUCGAACGAGACCUUCGGGUCUAGUGGCGCACGGGUGCGUAACGCGUGGGAACCUGCCCUUAGGUUCGGAAUAACUCCCCGAAAGGGGUGCUAAUACCGGAUAAUGUCUUCGGACCAAAGAUUUAUCGCCUUUGGAUGGGCACGCGUUGGAUUAGCUAGUUGGUAGGGUAACAGCCUACCAAGGCGACGAUCCAUAGCUGGUCUGAGAGGAUGAUCAGCCACACUGGGACUGAGACACGGCCCAGACUCCUACGCGAGGCAGCAGUGGGGAAUAUUGGACAGUGGGCGAAAGCCUGAUCCAGCAAUGCCGCGUGAGUGAUGAAGGCCUUAGGGUUGUAAAGCUCUUUUACCCGGGAUGAUAAUGACAGUACCGGGAGAAUAAGCUCCGGCUAACUCCGUG
rnacentral:rRNA from 1 species